AAUAUAAUAUUAAAUUUUCGUAGAGCUUGUCUAACUUGAAAUGACGCGCCCCACGACUUCAUUAGUUGAUAUAAAUGAGAAAGGUA